GUCCCUACGGGGCGCAGCAGUGGGGAAUAUUGGGCAAUGGGCGCAAGCCUGACCCAGCAACGCCGCGUGAAGGAAGAAGGCUUUCGGGUUGUAAACUUCUUUUAUCAGGGACGAAGCAAGUGACGGUACCUGAUGAAUAAGCCACGGCUAACUACGUGCCAGCAGCCGCGGUAAUACGUAGGUGGCAAGCGUUGUCCGGAAUCACUGGGCGUAAAGGGCGCGUAGGCGGUAAUAUAAGUUAGAUGUGAAAGGUGGGGGCUCGACCCCUAGAGUGCGACUGAUACUGUAUAACUUGAGUGUGAGAG
rnacentral:rRNA from 1 species